rnacentral:rRNA from 1 species
GGCCUUUUGAAUUUAAUUUAAGGUCUGACCUGCCCAGUGAUGAAUUUAACGGCCGCGGUAUAUUGACCGUGCAAAGGUAGCAUAAUCAUUAGUCUUUUAAUAGGGGGCUGGAAUGAACGGUUUAACGAGGGACUAACUGUCUCAUUUUAUUUGUUUUAAAACUUAAUUUUUUAGUUAAAAAGCUAAAAUUUUAUUGGAAGACGAGAAGACCCUAUAGAUCUUUAUAUAAUCUCUUAUAUUUAUUUAUGAGCAUAGAUAUAAUAUGAUUAUAUUUUGUUGGGGUGACAAAAAUACAUAAUUAACUUUUUUAUUUACUUACCAUUGAUAUAUGAGUAUUAGAUCCGCUAUUAGUGAUUGUUAGAAUAAGUUACCUUAGGGAUAACAGCGUAAUCCUCCUCCAGAGUUCAUAUUUACAGGAGGGCUUGCGACCUCGAUGUUGGAUUAAGAUAAUAAUUAGGUGUAGCCGCUUAAUUUAUAGGUCUGUUCGACCUUUAAAUUCUU